rnacentral:tRNA from 3 species
CAUUAAGAAGCUAUAUAGCAUUAACCUUUUAAGUUAAAGACUGAGGGUCUAAGUCCCUCCUUAAUGA